rnacentral:lncRNA from 1 species
AAAACACAACAACAACAACAACAACCAUCAAACGUCGUCGAAAACCGGAUAUUCUGGAACAGGACUGCAGUCAACAGUGAAAGUGGCAAAUAAAUCCAAUGGAGAUAUUGUAAAAAGGAAACGUGGGUUACAGUGAGGAUCACCUGUCAGCCAGUGGUGGAGAUAAAGGCUGCUCUCUGUCUGGCUGAGAAUCUCCUGAGAAACACAAAG